GUGAACCGUUUACAGUGUUGCAUAUACUCAUGACUUAAUGAAACAGCAGAAUAGAUGUUUAAAAUUCACAUUCACACUUCAGGAGUUCCAUAUUUUUGUAUUGUAUCAGGAUUAUUGCAAGGAUCUAAAUAUAUGAGAGGCAAACUUUGAAAUACAGAUUGAAUUCUGUGCAGCUUUACCAUAGAUGUCAAAAAUGUCUGUUUAUGUCAUAUACGACCUUGACAAUAACUGUUUCAAAAUAGGAAAGAGCGAUGAUGUUGAAGGACGUUUAAGUGAGAUCCGUGAGCAACACCCGAGAGCAGUCGAAGUGAUGAGACAAACAGUUAGAACUGAGCAUGCCUCCGCUGCCGAAUCUGCGGCUCAUUCAAGGGUCCAGACACGUCUCAAUAUGGUGCCAAUAUGUAUCGAUCCUAAUGACUCUGAUUGGUUUAAACCAUCAAUUAGAGGAAUAACAAAAAGGACAAUAGAACAGACAAUAAAAGAAGCUAUCAUACAGUACACAUAGAUGGCGCUUUGGUUAGUAAACUUAUCAGGUCCUGUGAUGAAUCAUGUAACAAAAAAUAAUAUGAUGGUUUAUAUUAUAAUUUCAAUUAGGGACAAUAUUCCCCACUCAACAGCUAGUAAAAUAUCAUAUUUUCUAUUAGUGGGUUAAAGCUUAUCAUUAUCAAUUAUUUCUAAGAAAGGUUUUUGGCUACCUUUGUCAAUUGCAGUACUUUGUCAAUAUGCAGUAAGUUAAAGUGUGUUGGAACUACGCUAAUGUGAAAAAAAUUGUAUUGAUCAUUUGUUAAGGAUCUUAACUUAGGCAUUUUAUGAUUGAAAUCAUUUUUGACUUAUCAGACUAAUAUAGGAGGAUUGGCUCCCAGAGUGCAACAUCGAUAUUUUUG
rnacentral:misc_RNA from 1 species